UUCACUCUAGCUCUAAAACUGAGCCCGAUAAAACCUCCGAAAGAUAAAUUGCGUUAAAGAAAUUAGUGUUUUUUAAAUGGAUUUUGACAGCCCUAAUUAUAAUAUAAAUUAACAAUUAGUCAGUGAUAUUGUGAGCUUAAAAGCGUUCAGUUUCACUUCAAUUUACAUUUUUAUUAUUAACAAAAAAGUGCGGCUAGGUAGAUGAAAAAGUGGAAGAAAGAGAGUUACAGGGCUGGAAAGUGUAUUUCUUUCUAUCUUUAUUUGUUUGUUCAUUUGUGACCUCAAUGCAGAAAAUGAUGAAGGGCGUUCACCGGCAUUUUUUUAAAAAUUCUAUUGUAUUUUUUUAUAGGGCGACCAGCGCUCCCCAGAAGGUGGUGUCCUAGGCGACCGCCUAUAUAGCCUAUGCCUUAAGCCAGCCCUGGAUAUAGCCUGGUGUUCUAUUGUAUGACAGUAGUGUGUCUCUUCAGCUAACAGCUACUGUUGCAUAGCUGUGAUAAUAUUCUCCUAACAGAGUCCUGAGCUCCUCGCCUUGUUAAAUAAACAAUACCAGCCCAGAGAAAGUGAUUUCAUCCGAGGCUUUAUUUAUCCAACUCUGCCCUUGUUGUCUUGGCCUUGUUUGCAUCCUCUAACUCCGUUUUUGGCUAACAGCUUUCGGCAACUGUUAGCUUUGCGCUAUAUCAACAAAACACUUGGAUGGGAGGGGAACCGCUGCUAGUCAAGGGUCUCCAGUGAAGUCAGUGCAGAGGACCUUGAUGUAUUCGGUAAACACUUUAAUCCUGUGUAAGCUCUUGCACAAGCAUUGCACGUCUUGCUGCAUUCCUGAAGCAGACAAACACGGCGGUUUCUAAUGGGUUUGCCUAACCAGGCUGCGUUUGUUUUCCGCACUCGUCAAGAUGGAUGGGAUUUUAUUCUAAGCCUCCGUCUCCCCGGCAAAUAAUUCUCCACUCCGCUAGACCUACAGCCACUUCCUCUGUUUUCUGUCUUUUUAAGCAAAAGGAAGUCAGGCCUUCAGAUUAAUGUGUGUUUCUUCCUUUUGUUUCUAGUGUUUCUUUGCGCCGGUGCCUACUGACUAGCCCUUUGCAUCAAUGAGAAAAAAACUGAUGCUAUCUUUUUAAACCACAAAAACGAGAGCAUGAAACAAAACGGAAAUUUUCCACGCAUUCUGCCUUGCAUCUUUCCUGGUAAAAAAAAAAAAAGCCUAUCUGCGGCAGGCCUGUGCCUUUUGAAGAGGAAUUAAGUAAAUAUAGUUAUUUCUAAAUGGCUGAUUGACUACCUCAGCAGCUUGGAGGCUACAGAUGCAGAAAUCUCAGAGCAGCACUUUCUCUUCACUUCCCUCUCUCUUUUCCCUCUUUCCUGGCCUGAUCCCCGUGUCCAUCCAGCGUUUGCUGAGGCUUCCGAAUGGAGAUGAAUCCCGACGGUGUGUCAGGGAUUUGACGAUGCUACACCAUAAAAGCGGAAAGCCGGUGCACCAGCACCGACCAUGGAUGAACUGAGUCAAUGGGAUUUCAACGCUGCAAAUUGUGGGUGAGUCAGUGGUUUGGGGCCCUGAAAUCUCAUUGUGGCUGCGCACAUUGUGCCCAGACACCUGCUGUAGCAGAUUCAUUCACCUCUACCCACCACAGCUGGGUAGCUGAUUAUCAGGGAGCCAGCAAAACACAUAUUCUCCGUGUGUGGACACACUUAAAGGGACAUGCCAGGGAUUAUAUUGGUGCCCUGUGCAGUGGCUGAGCUUUCUAGAGACAUGUACCUUAAGAAGCUGAGCACUUUACCCUGCCAUUAAAUUAUCUUAUCUCUCCUGUGCACACCCCUGCGGAGAGAGGUCUAAUUUCUCACUGAUGGACAAUUCAUUUCCAUCCUUAAAGUUGAACGAUGUUUCGUUUACGACUCCAGCAAAGCGCAGAGGUCUGCCCUGUGAGGAUGCAUGCAACUACCUCCGGCUGGGAGGAGGAGCAUCCUGAAGCCCACGGUGCAUGGCAGAUAGCUCUUAAUCUGUCAUCAUGUGGCUGGGGCGCAUUCUGGCGUAUUAAAUUGGCAUCUCCAGCAGGCGUGGCGACUCGCCCCUGUCAGCCGGUCGAUUUGCUGUACAGCUGUUAGGCUGCACCUCUGCACUCGGCGGACAUGUGUCAGCUGAAUAACCUUUAAACUGAUCUGAGGCCUGUGUUGAAGUGACAGCCGGCCCGAUGGGGCUUGACGGAAGCCAUAGCUUGACGCCACGAGGAAACUCAGUGAUCCAUCCCUAUCAUACUUCAUUCUGCGCCCCCUACACGUGUCGGAGCUCUUAAUAUACAGCGGUGAAGAAAUCACACACAACAUAACACCCGAUGCCUCCAGUCUAACAUUAAUUUGGGCCACAGACUCUCCACUUCACCCACCAAGGCCAACGAGAUGAGGAGAGAUCUAUAAAUAUGUUAGACCUGCUUGAUCUGUGCUCCACUUCAUCAAAGGCUGAUAGGGUAAUGGCGCAUGCAGGACCAUUUAUGGCCCUUUUAUUAAAUACACAAUCUUUUCUAAUCUAUUUGACUGUCACACAGAGUGCAACAGUUACCCUGUUUGCAGAGAUUUGAGGCUGGUAUGAUGAACGGGUGCAUAAAACAUACGCCUAUCCACAGGAGUCUGUGUUCAAUCUCUUACCAACAGUCAACAAUGAAUCUUCCCCUAUCCCUAAACCUGAUGUUUUGGCCAUUUGGGGGCAGCGCUACAAAAAAACAUUGACAUAUUACAUCUCACAAAGGCUAAAACGCUCCAUACAGCUGAAGUGAACUGUAGUCGGGUGAUCACUCUGAGCAUCUCCUUUCAUAUUACACUCACAUUUGAUCCAUUAUCAUUAUAAAAAUAUAUAGAUUAGAGCAGCUUUAAACCUUAAACAUAGAGGUGGCAGAUUAGAAAAUGUUCUUCUGGGUAAUUUUAAUGGGCCUUGACCAACAAGCUGUAGUGUCACUUGUCGUACAGUGGAGCCACUGCAAUAUAGCACUUUUAUGGCACACAUAUUGAAUUGCUGUAGCAGGAAAAAACACAGGUGUAACUAAUAACAACAACGAUGGCUCAAUUCCAUUUAUGUGUUCAAGGACUUAGGGAUUGUGCAUACAGUAUCCCUGACCAGCGCCGUCUCGUUCCCAGUUCGUCAAAUAUCAACGCUUUGUCGCGCCCCUCGGCGUCUGAUACGACACACUUUAGCGUCUGUAUGAGACACAUCGGGCUUUCAACUUCAAUGUCAACCCAUCCGUGGCAAUAUUUGACACUGGAUGGAUGGGUUAAACAUAGGACUUUCACCCAGAGGGCUGCUGUUCGUCUCUCGUGUGAAGCCAAAACUCAAAGUUGACUUAUUUUAAGUUACAUACGUUAGUUAACUUACCUAACAUACUUGAUUUACGUCAUGUUCUUAAAUUACGUCAUAUACUUAACGUACGUAACAUACUUAACUUACGUCGCAUACAUAACUUACGUCACAUGCUUAAUUUACAUCACGUACGUAACAUACUUAACUUAUGUAACGUGCAUAACAUACUUAACUUACGUCACGAACGUUAUGUACUUAACUUAUGUACGGAACUUAAGUUUUGUAACUAACAAACUUAUUCUAACCCUAAGACACCUAAGUGAUGAGGUACUAAAAGGUGACGUCAAGUGGUCCUGAUUAAGCGGCUGUAUAUGAGAACAGGUUGUCCUGACACAACUUACCGACACCACCAGUAUAUAGAGCAAAGUCAUCAUUAAUGUUGCAACAUCUGUGCUUUUUCUGCUAUGACAGGUCAAAAUGUCUGCUCUGUUGUUCUGCAUUUGUGCAUUGUAAGCAUUGGUUAGUCCUCGUAUACAAGUGGGGCUUUUUACAUGAGCUUGUUAUGAUCUGGUCUAACUAAUAUUAGGCUCUAAAGGAUUUACAGCAACUUGUAGGCACUGUAUGUACAAAUCAAACAUGUUUGCAUUUGUACUUGUGGAUUUAUGAAAAUCAUUUGCAUCAAUUACUAAAAUAUAAUUACAUAUUAAUCACAAAAAUUGCUCAGAUUACACGGUAGUGACAAGCUGCAACUCCGUUUAAUCACUGUGAAAUUAAAUCAUAAAUUGACUUGCUGUUCUCUAAACUGAGCAUUGCAUAUUUUUCAUCAGCGAUUUCCAGUUAGUAGUUUUUUUUUUCCCAGCUAUUGAAUUCCUUCAUUUUAGUUGUACUUUUAUUGUCAGUCGGACUUCUAGUGAUGUCAACGUGUUCAGAGGAUUGUCGAGAAUCUCACUGCACACUCCUUUAUUUGCCCUCUUGUGGAACUCACGUGGGAUAAAGGGAGAAGGUAAGGUUUAACAGUUUUAUUAAAAACACACAGACAACACGACCACGAGACGAACCACGUACAGCAGACAAGACAGACGUGGCACUGACAGAGACAGCAGGCACAAGCACAAACACAACACGCCUCCGAGGGAGGAGCUGCCGCGGGGCUACAGCGACGGCGCGGGACCGCAGCUGUAGCCCCGAACACACACACUGACAUGUAGUAGAAGCCAGCUGGGGGUUAGCCUGAGACUUAUGGGUGGAGAAGAAGCAGUUACACAAAAUGGAUGCCAAUCAUAUCCAUGCAGAAGCAGGGGUGGGUGGGGGGGAGAGGAUUAUAAGUUAGUCUAUAGAGCUGCGGUACAGUCCAGUACAGUGUGCAUGCCACAAAUGCCUUCUACUUGGAGCAACAGAUAGAAUAGAAAAACAGAUAUACUUUGUGGCAAUAAAAGUCUUUUUAUGCCAUCUGCAUUCAAACAGACAUGUAUAUGCAGAAAGGCUAAAAGAAAGAAGGUGGGUGAGUCGGGAUGGAGGGGGUGGGAGGGGAGGGGGUAGGGGUUAACGCUCGGAAGGGGAGACAGGGAGUCAUUCUUUCACACACAACUUUCUUGAGACAGAAUGGGGUUGCCUGCACAAGGCCAAAAAAAGGAUGAUGGCAAGAAAAGAUUUUGUUGCCGUUCAUUUCCCUAUGUUGUAUCGAAAAUGGGGGGGGAGGAAUGUUUCUUUAGAAGCCAUAUGGCACAAAAAAAAUAAACACAAACUUGAUGAGGAGGAGAAUUUUCCAACCACCAAAAGUUCAUGCGGCACAAGAUGAGGCAAAAACGGGAGGAGUGGACUCUAUCCUUGCUUGGAGGAUGGACGACGGAUGAUGAGGAGGACACCAAAAGAAAAAGAAAAACCAACCACAACAAAACAAGAAAAAUAAAAAUCACCCCACUCGAAAACCCGCCCCGGCCCCAAAGUAAAGCCAAAAACAAAAAGCUCAAAUCUUAAGCAACCCAACAGCUGGGUCCAAAUCGAUACAGAAGAGAGAUGUUCAUAUGUGCAUCACAGGAGAAAAAACAAAAUGCAACGGAAAAGAACACCAUGUCAUGCAACUGUUCAUACGACUGGAAGCGGGGGGCAAGGAAUGAGGAUAUGAAUUUCUGUGUCAACAUGGUGAAAUGUACAGUAUGUAUGAGUGUGUAUGACUACAUAUGUUGCCACUAUAUGAGGGGAGGGUACCAUGUCGUCUUUAGUAAACAAAAAAACUUCUUGCUUCUCACUUUUGUUGCACUUCCACUUUUGAGAGUACUUGGGUUUGAGGUACGGAAAAUAAAAAAAGCAGUUCACAUAAGCAGCAGAAAUGUGCCUAUUCAAUUCCAGUAAUCUCUGACUUAAGAGAGCAACUCGUGCUUAUACUGUAGAUAAAGAACCUACAGGGAAAAUGGCUUUCUCUUCACAUAAAAAGCCAUAAGCGCGAGGACCUAAAUGUGGUCAUAAUUUUCAAGGAAACAAACGCUAUUACGGCGUGAUAAGGCUUCAAAGUAAAUGAGUUCACAGAUUGGAGGAAAAAAGGCAAAAUUACUGGCAGAGUAUCUACUGAAGUACACGGAAAGACCUCGUUUCCGAGAAAAAUAAAUAACUGAUUAUCUGUUAUAUUCUCCGAGCAGAGAUAACAAAAAGAAAGGGCGAUGCAUUGUUUCAAUUUAGGCUUAUCAUAAGCGGUGAAAAGUGGACAUAUGCUGGCUGCUAAAAUGAGCCAUAUUGAGCCAGAUUAACGUGGCAUCAAUUAGUCCGCGAUGAUGGCGUUUUGAAGGACAGUGAAGCAAUCAAAUAGCCUGAGUUGUUAAUGAAUUUCAGAGUGCCUACGGGGAGACGCUUUCUACAUACUGAGCCAGUUUCCAUAGAGCUCCCACUCUCCUGGUUUACUCCCAUACUAUAACGAUGUAUGCCAGCGGCCCCUGGGCACGAGGGUGAUUGACAGUUCCUUGUUGAAAAGUCGUCCAAACCCAAGUCGCCUCAAAAUAACCACCUCUUUUAAAUCUGCGGUUUUAUUUCCAGCUCUGAGUGAAUGUCUUAUCACUUUGAUCUAAUCACAAAGUGACGUGUGUAUAUGUAUAUAUGUGUGUGUGUGUGUGUUUGUCGUGUAUGUAUGUGUGAAGGGAGGAGGGAAGAGAGACGAUGCGCACAGAAAUUCGAGGAUAUCUGUUCUCUAUUAGAAUGUUUCAGGUAAGGCAAGCCUCCGACGAAGGAAACAGAGGUACAAACGAGAAGAAGAAGAAGGAGAGGCAGGAGAAGGGGAGGAAGAGGCUCUGUUGCAGUUAGUCUGCUACAUAUCACAGUAUCUAUGCUGAAAGCAUCUUUGUUCUCGAAAGAAUCUCAAAAUGUAUCCUCUGUCAAGAGAGACGCACACACACGCACAGCAAGAGGAAAUCGACCAGUACAGGACAGAUACAUUUUGAAGCAUCAGUGCGGGCGACAUGGGGCUUGAUACUAAUUUCGUACUUUGUGGAGUAAAGUUUUGCUCUCGACCGAAUGCUGAGAGAACAAAAUUAGUAUCAACGCCUUGUCAUGUCUGCAACCAGUGGCCCCAUAGCUAAGUGUAACUU